AACGCUAGCUACAGGCUUAACACAUGCAAGUCGAGGGGUAACAAGAGGAAAGCUUGCUUUCCUUGUUGACGACCGGCGCACGGGUGAGUAACGCGUAUCCAACCUGCCUAUAACUAGGGAAUAACCUUGCGAAAGUAAGACUAAUACCCUAUGAUUUCCUUUGAUGACAUCAGAUUAGGAAUAAAGAUUUAUCGGUUAUUGAUGGGGAUGCGUCUGAUUAGCUUGUUGGCGGGGUAACGGCCCACCAAGGCAACGAUCAGUAGGGGUUCUGAGAGGAAGGUCCCCCACAUCGGAACUGAGACACGGUCCAAACUCCUACGGGAGGCAGCAGUGAGGAAUAUUGGUCAAUGGGCGGAAGCCUGAACCAGCCAAGUAGCGUGCAGGAUGACGGCCCUAUGGGUUGUAAACUGCUUUUAUACAGGAAUAAAGUUAGCCACGUGUGGUUAUUUGUAGGUACUGUAUGAAUAAGGACCGGCUAAUUCCGUGCCAGCAGCCGCGGUAAUACGGAAGGUCCAGGCGUUAUCCGGAUUUAUUGGGUUUAAAGGGAGCGUAGGCCGUCUGUUAAGCGUGUUGUGAAAUGUAGAUGCUCAACAUCUGAAUUGCAGCGCGAACUGGCAGACUUGAGUGUGCGCAACGUAGGCGGAAUUCGUGGUGUAGCGGUGAAAUGCUUAGAUAUCACGAAGAACUCCGAUUG
rnacentral:rRNA from 1 species